UACGGAGGGUGCAAGCGUUACUCGGAUUCACUGGGCGUAAAGGGUGCGUAGGUGGCCAGGUAAGUCUGAUGUGAAAUCUCGGAGCUCAACUCCGAAACUGCAUUGGAUACUAUCUGGCUGGAGGGUCGGAGGGGGGACUGGAAUUCUCGGUGUAGCAGUGAAAUGCGUAGAUAUCGAGAGGAACACCAGUGGCGAAGGCGAGUCCCUGGACGACUCCUGACACUGAGGCACGAAAGCUAGGGGAGCAAACAGG
rnacentral:rRNA from 1 species